CUCGGUGAAGUCGUCAGAAUGAACCAGGCUUGGAACUUGGGCAUGGAAUACUGUCAGCCCCUGGCUCUUGCCACCAGGCCUUGUCCCUCCUUGCCAACACCCCACCCACGGGCCUCUGCUUGGUGACUCUCUCCUCACCCCGCACCUCUGACCCUGCGUCGGGUGCAUCCUGAAUGCUUCACAAGCAGGAGGGAAGCACGUUUCUCUGUAGGACCCCCUGACCCCUCAAAUACCUAAGAGUCAGGGUCCCCCACCCCACUUGCCCCCACUGUGGGGCGUCCUUUAGAGUCUCCAGGUUGGAUGCU
rnacentral:lncRNA from 10 species